ACGUAUUAGAACCUCAACGGCACAGUCCAAAGUGGGCCUUACCGUACUGAUCACAACAUGGUGUUGGGGUUCUCUUCUUACUAGUAUCCCUGUGAUGUUGCGUGCUAGAUUCCCGCAAACUUUAACAUGGACCAAAAUAGGAUCGAUCAUAUCAUGGCCUUCGAAAUUGUGGAGGAGCACUAGAUACAGGUGGCGCCAAACUCCACGAAGACUCGGGCCUGACGCUGCCUCUAUAGCCAUCAAGAUACCUUGCAAAUCUCGCCCUCUUAUGUUGACCCCUAUACUGCUCCCUAUUUUCC
rnacentral:lncRNA from 1 species